rnacentral:rRNA from 1 species
UAUGACUUACUGGCGGACGGGUGAGUAACACGUGAGCAACCUGCCUUUCAGACGGGGAUAACGGCUGGAAACGGUCGCUAAUACCGCAUGAUGUGCUCGGAUGGCAUCAUCUGAACAUCAAAGAUUUAUCGCUGAAGGAUGGGCUCGCGUCUGAUUAGAUAGUUGGUGGGGUAACGGCCUACCAAGUCUACGAUCAGUAGCCGGACUGAGAGGUUGAACGGCCACAUUGGGACUGAGAUACGGCCCGGACUCCUACGGGAGGCAGCAGUGGGGAAUAUUGCACAAUGGGGGAAACCCUGAUGCAGCAACGCCGCGUGAAGGAUGACGGUUUUCGGAUUGUAAACUUCUUUUCUUAGUGACGAAGACAGUGACGGUAGCUAAGGAAUAAGCAUCGGCUAACUACGUGCCAGCAGCCGCGGUAAUACGUAGGAUGCAAGCGUUAUCCGGAUUUACUGGGUGUAAAGGGAGCGCAGGCGGGACUGCAAGUUGGAUGUGAAAUACCGUGGCUUAACCACGGAACUGCAUCCAAAACUGUAGUUCUUGAGUGAAGUAGAGGCAAGCGGAAUUCCGAGUGUAGCGGUGAAAUGCGUAGAUAUUCGGAGGAACACCAGUGGCGAAGGCGGCUUGCUGGGCUUUAACUGACGCUGAGGCUGGAAAGUGUGGGGAGCAACCAGGAGUAGACAGCUUGG